CUCUCUCAAGCCCUCGGGUUUGGUAUUGAGUGAUACUCUUAGUCAGACUAGGCGUUUGCUUGAAAAGUAUCGGCAUGAGUAGUACUAGAUAGUGCUUUCAGGAUAUUUCAAUGUAUUAGGUUUAUCCAACUCGUUGAGAAUUCUUGGUAGUGAAUUUUUAGUAUCAUGGCUCUGCCUUACAAAACAACAAACAA
rnacentral:misc_RNA from 1 species